rnacentral:rRNA from 1 species
GACGAACGCUGGCGGCGUGCCUAAUACAUGCAAGUUGAGCGCUGAAGGUUGGUACUUGUACCAACUGGAUGAGCAGCGAACGGGUGAGUAACGCGUGGGGAAUCUGCCUUUGAGCGGGGGACAACAUCUGGAAACGAAUGCUAAUACCGCAUAAAAACUUUAAACACAAGUUUUAAGUUUGAAAGAUGCAAUUGCAUCACUCAAAGAUGAUCCCGCGUUGUAUUAGCUAGUUGGUGAGGUAAAGGCUCACCAAGGCGAUGAUACAUAGCCGACCUGAGAGGGUGAUCGGCCACAUUGGGACUGGGACGCGGCCCAAACUCCUACGGGGGGCAGCAGUAGGGAAUCUUCGGCAAUGGACGAAAGUCUGACCGAGCAACGCCGCGUGAGUGAAGAAGGUUUUCGGAUCGUAAAACUCUGUUGGUAGAGGAGAACGUUGGUGAGAGUGGAAAGCUCAUCAAGUGACGGUAACUACCCAGAAAGGGACGGCUAACUACGUG